CUAAACAACAGAGCUGGUUGUAGUGGCUUAAGACUUUUGCACAGUACUAUAUAAUAUAUAUAUCGGCCCUGAAAAGCACAUAUCGUUCGACCCCUAAAACAUAAUACACCUGGCAUGAAUAUGUGAUCAAUUUUUCAUUUCAAAAUUCCCACCAAGUCGUCUAUCUGAAAUUUCCCAGCAUGCACCAAUCGCUCCACUGAUCUGCAUCGCAAGUGACAGCAGUACCAAACACACGUUGUGUUUGUGUUGAAUAAUACCAGCCCAGCUUUUGUUACUGAAUCCUUUCAGCAUACUGCACUUUCUUUUUGUGACCCUUGGUGGCCCCAUCAGCCAGUUGCCAUGGUGACCAUUGAACGUAUGCCGAAGAAGCGAUCAUGCCUGUGGAGGGUGGUUUUAAGACGCGUGUAUACAUGUGCAUGUGUGGACUCUCACCAGGCAUUCAAGCAGUCGGGCGGGACGAGAGAUGAUGAUGAGGAGUUUCUUCACCAGCUCAGUGAUGAAGAAGUCUCUCCAGGUUCUCCUGCAGCUCAUAGAAGUAAACAGUGGUGAUGAGGCCUUCGCGCGAUUUGGUCAGGCAGUUUCGGGACAGCUCAGCGAUCUGGUGGUGGAUGAAGCUGAGGACCCCGUCGGCCAGCGGCAACACGUUCUCGGGCGAGUAGGACUCGAUGAACUCAGCCAGGCGCUCCUCCAUCUGAGCCGUGGCCUGGAUACGACACACGGACGGCGUUCAUAAGCAUUUCAUGGGGAAGCGCUCCUUAUAUACAUGGUUCAUCAUAACGAUCUCAUUGUCGUAGCAGGAAGGUGAGCGCCCGGGACUAUAAAAAGACAGAGAAGAAGAAAGUGAAGGACAAAAAGAAGAGGAAGAGAAAGCUGAAGUGAAGAGUGAUUCUCGCGAAAUUAGACUUAUGAGGUGUCAUGAAACAUUUUGAUAAAAAAAGUUAAAUGCUAUCAAAAUAAGCAGCAUACAGUUACAAACAUCUCUUCAUGUAAUAUUUUGCACCUGAUUUCAAAUGAUAUCAUACAAACCAAUUUUGUUGUUUUUUCCACAUUUAAGGGGAAAAUUUUCAUUACCGCAACGUGUCCAUGACUGGAUUUGGGUUCUUUGACAUGGAAAUAUUUAUAAUUAAAAAAUCUAUAAAAUAAAAAGCUUCAGUGCAUGUUAUACUAUAAACAUUUACAGUAAAGAAACAUGUGGUAUUUGGUGAUCAUUGGUAAAUGUAGAGACAAUAAUAAGGAAUAUAAAUGUGUCAGACCAAUUUUCUCAUCCUCCACAACAAUUUUCAAUCAUUGUUUAAGCCCUCAAGGAACUAACAUUUUCAUACAUUUUUUUUGUAAGGGACAUAAUUGACUGUGACACUCAAGAUGGCUACCAGGUAAACAUUUCUUAUUUUUUCUCUCCAGAUAAAAGUUACAAUUUUGUUUGUCAUAGUACCUAGACAACUUUUUAGUUAUCAUUACCGAAACACGAGUUUGUAAAUGCAUAUAUUUAAUGUAAUAUCAUGUUGCGGUAAUGAUAAUUUUUGAUAAUGAUAAUAAAAAAAUGUAAAUCAUUCUAUAGGUAAUAUUUUUUAAAUCCUCUAAAGUAAUGGUUAUAAUAAGUUCAGACCGUAGCCCCUUAUGGAACGGCUGAAAUUCCACAAGGGGGCGUAUUUGUUCCUCAGAUGUUGCACAAUAAAUGUGACAUCCGAAUAUAUUCAUUAUAAAUCGUGAAUGAAAAGUGAGAUUCGAACGAAUGUCCGUUAGUGAACUAAUUGUAUACACUAUUUAUAUCGUAAUUCGGUCAGAAAUGUCAAGAUUGUGAGAUGAACAAAUCGUUUUGGAUUAAAAGGCUUGGAUAUUCCAUUUCCUUGGACUUUUGGGGAUUUAUGAACAAUUUGUUUUGGACAGUUUCACCGAAGCAGAUUAAGGGAAGAUUUUGAAGGUAAGUAAA